rnacentral:rRNA from 1 species
AGAACGAACGCUGGCGGCAUGCCUAAUACAUGCAAGUCGAACGAAUGCCCUUCGGGGUGUUAGUGGCGCACGGGUGCGUAACGCGUGGGAAUCUGCCCUUGGGUUCGGAAUAACAGUUAGAAAUGACUGCGUAAUACCGGAUGAUGACGUAAGUCCAAAGAUUUAUCGCCCAGGGAUGAGCCCGCGUAGGAUUAGCUAGUUGGUGGGGUAAUGGCUCACCAAGGCGACGAUCCGUAACUGGUCUGAGAGGAUGAUCAGUCACACUGGAACUGAGACACGGUCCAGACCUCCGUACGGGA